rnacentral:rRNA from 1 species
UCGCUAGUGAUUCAGGCCUAACACACGCAAAAAAAGGGGUGGAGUUUCUUCGGAGACUUGAAAAAAAAACACGGGUGCGUAACGCGUAUGCAAUCUGCCCUUUGCUGGGGAAUAGCCCGGGGAAAUUCGGAUUAAUGCCCCAUAUGCCCACGGGAUCGCAUGGUUCAGUGGGGAAAGUUCCGACGGUAAAGGAUGAGCAUGCGUCCCAUUAGCUAGUUGGUGAGGUAACGGCUCACCAAGGCGACGAUGGGUAGGGGGCCUGAAAAAGUGAUCCCC